CUGUCCAGGAGGUGCCGUUUAUAAAGAUAGCAUACAAACAUAGGAAUAUAGCACAGUGAUUAUAUUUUAUACAAGCAAGGUCUAAAUUUGUUAAAUUUCUAGCAUAGUAAAGAGAAGCCACAUUUGUAGCAAAAUAACGAGAAAGUUAAUAAUCCCCCUUAUUCAUGUAGCAUUAUAUGAACCUAGUAUAAAUAGUGAACCACUUAUUAUAACUAUAUUGGAAAAAUU